UCCGUAGGUGAACCUGCGGAAGGAUCAUUAACGAAAUUUGAUUUACAUCUUAUUUUGUGCUUAUUUACACUUAAGUGUGUAUUUUUGCUUCUGGGUUUCUAACGAAGCCCAGGUGAAUAAAACUCUAAAGAUUUAUUUUGUCUAAAGCUAAAUUUAUUGAAUAAAUUAAAACUUUCAACAACGGAUCUCUAGGUUCUCGCAUCGAUGAAGAACGCAGCGAAAUGCGAUAUGUAUUGUGAAUUGCAGAAUUUCGUGAAUCAUCGAAUCUUUGAACGCACAUUGCGCCUGGUGGUACUCCSCCAGGCAUGCUUGUUUGAGCGUCAUUUCUCUCUCACUUCUAGUGGUUUUGCUGUUUAUCUUUCCCUUUGAUGGGGAAAGUGCAGUGAAAGGAAAUGGCAAGGCUUUGACUUUGGAAACGUGUUUUAGGUUCUACCAACUACAUUACUACCUUUGUCAACCAAGUCGGCUUGAUAACCUUUUUUCAAUGUUGACCUCAAAUCAAGUAGGACUACCCGCUGAACUUAAGCAUAUCAAUAAGCGGAGGA
rnacentral:rRNA from 1 species